UACGGGGGGGGCAAGCGUUGUUCGGAAUUACUGGGCGUAAAGGGCGCGUAGGCGGUUCGUUAAGUCCUGUGUGAAAUCCCCCGGCUCAACUGGGGAACUGCACAGGAAACUAGCGGGCUUGAGUUCGGGAGAGGGAAGCGGAAUUCCGGGUGUAGCGGUGAAAUGCGCAGAUAUCAGGAAGAACACCAAUGGCGAAGGCAGCUCUCUGGGACGGUACUGACGCUGAGACGCGAAAGCGUGGGGAGCGAACAGG
rnacentral:rRNA from 1 species